GCCUGAGUGGCUCAGUCGGUUGAGCAACUGACUUCGGCUCAGGUCAUGAUCUCAUGGUCCGUGAGUUCGAGCCCUGCAUCAGGCU
rnacentral:tRNA from 1 species